AGCCCAUGAAAUUAGGGCACAACGCGCAUGCUCUUCUGUAGAUUUCAAGGCCAGCGAAAACAAAGUACCAAAAGAACUCAGCGAUUAGAGCUGAAAGGAAAAACGAAAAAAAUAAAGUUGUUUUUGUUAAGGAAAAAAUAUCAUUCAAAGCUUCCUCUUCUUCUUCCGCUGUGAUUAUUUAGCUUGAGUUUGCGUGCUCCUAAUACGAUAGUUGGACAAUUAAACUGGCUGUUGUUUUUUUGGGCCAGUAUCAGUAUCAAAAUUUCAAGAACUUCAUUGCUUCAUUGUAUGUAGUUUUUAAUUUGUUGAACAUUAUCAUCAUCAAUCAUUAUCCUCUCUAUUGUCAUUCCUAAUUCUUUCUUGCUGCCGCUAAAGCUAUUUGCUUUUCAUGAUCCCUUAAUUGAUUAUCAUUCGCAUUAAAACUCCUUGGACCGAUUUCUCAUGGCACAAAUUCUGUCGAGAUUCUUAUUCUGCAACUCCAUUUGGCCUCUCAUUUUGUUUCCACCUUUCCAUACUUGCAUUCUUCCUUCUGUGAAUGCUUCUGGCUUCUGUGCUUGCUUCACAGUUGCCUUGCAAGCUUCUUUUGUUAGAUACAUAAGAUGCCGAGAUCAAGGGCAAGUGGUGCAUCUGCUGAUGAACCAGAUGUGCCUGAAAAGUCUACCGAGCAUGAAGAGCAGGUUGACCUUGAUGGUGACAAUGAAGGCGAGGAGACAAUGGAAGAAGAAGUCGAGUAUGAAGAAGUAGAGGAAGAGGAGGAAGUGGAAGAGAUAGAGGAAGAGGUGGAAGAGGAGGUAGAGGAGGAAGAAAAUGAAGAGGCUUCUGAUGAAGCAGAUUCACAAAAGGGCUCAGAUGGUGAUGAGGAGGAUGACGAGCAUAGAAAACAUUAUGAGCUUCUUGCACUUCCUCCUCAUGGGUCAGAGGUGUAUCUCGGUGGCAUCCCCCCUGAUGCUUCUGAAGAGGAUUUGAAAGAAUUUUGUGAAUCUAUAGGAGAAGUAACAGAGAUAAGGAUAAUGAAGGGAAAAGACUCAAGUGAGUCAAAAGGUUAUGCUUUUGUGACUUUCAGAACAAAGGAGUUGGCUUCCAAGGCCAUUGAAGAGCUGAACAAUACUGAAAUUAAGGGUAAAAAGGUUAAGUGUUCGACAUCUCAAGCAAAUCAUAGAUUGUUUAUUGGAAAUGUUCCAAGAAACUGGGGAGAAGAAGAUAUGAAGAAGGCUGUUAAAAAGACUGGGCCAGGAGUUAAUUCGGUGGAAUUGCUGAAGGACCCACAGAACCCAAGCCGUAAUCGUGGAUUUGCUUUCAUUGAGUAUUAUAAUCAUGCAUGUGCAGAAUACUCAAGAAAAAUGAUGUCAAACCCAGAAUUCAAGCUAGAUGAUAAUGCUCCAACUGUGAGCUGGGCGGAUCCCAAAAAUGCAGGAUCUUCUGCUGCUUCUCAGGUCAAGGCAGUGUAUGUCAAGAACUUACCAGAAGAUAUUAAUCAGGAUCGUCUAAGGCAGCUGUUUGAGCAUCAUGGAAAAGUCACAAAAGUAGUUCUGCCACCUGCAAAACCUGGACAUGAAAAGAGCAGAUUUGGUUUUGUGCAUUUUGCAGAGAGGUCAAGUGCCAUGAAGGCAUUAAAGAACACUGAGAAAUAUGAAAUUGAUGGUCAAGUUUUGGAUUGUUCCCUUGCAAAGCCUCAAGCAGAACUGAAGUCUUCUGGAGGGCCAAAUUCACAGAAGUCAUCCCAACAUUCAAGCUUCCCACCUCGUGUUGGUUACAGUUUAGUUGGGAGUUCAUAUGGUGCUCUUGGUGCAGGAUUUGGUGCUGCUGGCUUUGCGCAGACCAUGCAGCCAGUCAUCUAUGGUAGGGGACCGACUCCUGCUGGCAUGGCAAUGAUGCCAAUGCUUUUGCCUGAUGGAAGGAUUGGAUAUGUCCUCCAACAGCCUGGAAUGCAAAUGCACAGCCCUCCACCACAGCCCUGGGGUGGCAGGGGUAGUGGUGCUGGUAGCUCAAGUGGUGGGAGACGUAAUGAUGGCGGCCGUGGACGCAGCCGAUAUAACCCAUACUAAUUUUAGCAGUGGAAAUGCGAAGGGGAAGAGGAAUUAUUUACUGUUUGACAUUGAUUACUUGGAUGAUGAGAAAAGCUUUGUAACAUCUCAAACAAGCAAGAAAAUUAACUUCGUUUAGUGGAAGUGGGCCUCUAUUUUUGAAAACUCCAUUUACUUGCUUUAUAUAUAUAUAUAUAUAUAUAUAGGUGGACAAUCAGAUUUUUGAGCAUGUUGGUUCAUUGUUUGUUUUUGCAUCAGGUCACAGGGUAGUCCUGAGCAGUGGAGGUUGCUUUAUGUUUACUGACAGCUUAUUUAUGUCUAGGGCAACUUGUUGCUUCGCUCAGAAAAUUCAUCCAAAUUGUGAAAUAAGUCACAUGGCAGGAUCACUGGUGAUAUCAAUUACAAAGACGCAGCUAAAUAAUUUUAUUCAUCUCGUUUAAUCAUAUGUAGCAGCAGCACUAGGCUCUCUACCUCAAGUUUGAUCCUUCGAUGAGAAGACAGAUUGUAUUUUUUGAGCGAUGGGUCUGUCAUACGUUGAAAAUUUGUAGCCCAGGCUCAAAGUUUAGUUACAUUUAGAGCUUAAACAAUGUCUUAUGCCCGAUCCCAGAGCUAAUGGUGAUCAUAUAUUUCUACCGCCUGUUGCGUUGCUAGUGUGCUAUAAGAGCAUCCACACCCUUGUUCUCCAAGAGCAUCCACGUUUAGCCUUCCUACCGAGGCUCUUUAGCUAUUAUAGCUAUCAUAUAUAAAACCCAUACGUUGUUACACGUUAAAA